UACGUAGGGUGCAAGCGUUAAUCGGAAUUACUGGGCGUAAAGCGUGCGCAGGCGGUUUUGUAAGUCUGUCGUGAAAUCCCCGGGCUCAACCUGGGAAUUGCGAUGGAGACUGCAAGGCUAGAAUCUGGCAGAGGGGGGUAGAAUUCCACGUGUAGCAGUGAAAUGCGUAGAGAUGUGGAGAAACACCGAUGGCGAAGGCAGCCCCCUGGGUCAAGAUUGACGCUCAUGCACGAAAGCGUGGGGAGCAAACAGG
rnacentral:rRNA from 1 species